CGAAGGUCCCAAGCGUUAUCCGGAUUUAUUGGGUUUAAAGGGUGCGUAGGCGGGCUAUUAAGUCAGUGGUGAAAGCCCCAAGCUUAACUUGGGAACUGCCAUUGAUACUGAUGGUCUUGAGUACAUUUGAGGUGGGCGGAAUGUGUCAUGUAGCGGUGAAAUGCUUAGAUAUGACACAGAACACCGAUUGCGAAGGCAGCUCACUAAACUGUAACUGACGCUGAGCCACGAAAGCGUGGGGAGCAAACAGGAUUAGAUACCCUGGUAGUCCACGCCCUAAACGAUGAUCACUCGAUGUGUGCGAUAUACUGUACGCGUCUGAGCGAAAGCAUUAAGUGAUCCACCUGGGGAGUACGACCGCAAGGUUG
rnacentral:rRNA from 1 species